GGCUCGGUAGCUUAGUUGGUGAUGCUUGUCUAGCGAAUAAGGGUCGUGAGUUCAAAUCUCACCUGAGCUG
rnacentral:tRNA from 1 species